ACGCCUGCCCGGUGCUGGAAGGUUAUGGGUAUCUGUUAGAGCAUGCGCGUCAGUGACGUUAAGCGCCAGGAAACGUCGGCCGUAACUAUAACGGGCCUAAGGUAGCGAAAGUCCUUGGCGGGUAAGUGCGGACCCGCAGGAAAGGCGUAACGAUUUGGGCACGGUCUCAACAACAGAGUCGGUGAAAUUGGAAUUCCGGGGAAGAUGCCGGAUACCUGCGACAGGACGGAAAGACCCCAUGGAGCUUUACUGUAGCUUGACAUUGGGUCUUGGUACUACAUGUACAGGAUAGGUGGGAGGCUUUGA
rnacentral:rRNA from 1 species